rnacentral:ncRNA from 2 species
UGGCUCGACACGGGGUGUCCUGCUUUGCAGGGCUGAGAGUACACCCGUUGAACCUGAUCCAGUUCACACUGGCGAAGGGAUGUCAGCCGCAGGCGCA